rnacentral:lncRNA from 9 species
UUAGAAAUACUCUUCAUAUCUUUAACAUCCAUUAUAGAAAUUCAGUUACCACUGCCUCCAUUUCUUUCCAGCUCAUAAGCAUCCAGAUAAAAAUUUUAAAAGCAUUUGUUUCCAGGAGUUCCCGUUGUGGCUCAGUGGUUAACAAAUCCAACUAGGAACCAUGAGGUUGCGUGUUUGAUCCCUGGCCUUGCUCAGUGGAUUAAGGACCCAGUGUUGCUGUGAGCUGUGGUGUAGGUCACAGACAUGGCUCGGAUCUCGAGUUGCUGUGGCUCUGGUGUAGGCCUGCAGCUGUAGCUCCAGUUGGAUCCCUAGCCUGGGAACCUCCAUGUGCCAUAGGUGCGGCCCUAAGAAGACUAAAUAAAUAAAUACAUUUGUUUCCAAACCAAUCCUAUGGUAGACAUUUUAUAUUUAGGAGGCAUGGAAGCUAUGAUGAAGUUUGACUUCCACUUUUCCUUACUAGGUCAAUUUUUCCACAUGAAGACUGCCUUUGUCAUGAGGACAAAAGCCAUAAACUAGCCCCAUUGAGAAGCUGUUUAUUUUGUGACCAACUCAGGCAUUUGUGAGAGAUCCAUGAAUGGAGUGAAAUGGCCCUCACUAGCUGUUGGAAUAUUCCACACUUUUUCUGUAUCAGAGAAAUUUCAGAAGGAAGAAUACAAAGGAAAACUACAUUCUGUGGACAUGGAAACUAUGAAUGGACAGAAGGCAGUUUGAGGUUGUCUCCUGGAGGUGUCAACAAUUCGUCUAGGAGUGUUGUAUUCAAAACUAUUAAGAAAAGGACUGGAGUUUUCUGGUGGCUCAGUGGGAUACGGAUCUGGCAUUAUCACUGCUGUGGCUGAGGACGCUGGUGUGGCACAAGUUUGAUUCCUGGCCCCAGAACUUCUAUAUGCUGCAGGAAUGGCAAAAAAGAAAGAAACAAAGAAAAAAGAAAGAAAGAAAGAAAGAAAAGGAAAGAAGUGGACUGGACUGGAGAAUGGGAGAUUUGGAGCUGGUCAUUGUGUAGCCUUGGGCCAGUUAAAUAAUUCACUGGACCUGUCUUCUCAGGCACAAUAUAAGGAGGACCUCAUUAGAUGAUGAAUCUCAAAGGUUCUGACAACCCUGAAACUGGAGGACUUUGCAGUGCUUUGACGUGGGACCUCACACUUGGAUGCCUUUUGUUCCAUUAAAAAUAUGGUUGGCCCUUCUCCCAGAGAAUAUAAAUCCAGACAAAGACAAAGGGCACAUACCUGAGGAGAGAGUGUAAACAGGGACGAAGCAAGCAGAGAGGGGCAUGUGGGAAGAGCAGGAAGAAAGGAGGCGGUGGGGAGGGAAGAGCAGAGGGAGAGAAGAAUGAGGAGAUUCCAGAUACAUGGGAGGGGGUAAGAGUGGGGAGCAGGGCGAAGUGGUUAGAGAAAGAGAGGAGAUACUGAAAGGUACAGGCAGUUAAGAAAACUAAAGAAGGUAUCCAAGGAGCAGUACACAGCUAUAAGUACAGAGUAUAAAAUCUGAAAAUCUUCCCACGUAUUUUUUGCCUGGUAAUAAAUACUUACAGUUCUUUGGUCCUCUCCAGAAAAAAAUGCCUAAAAGCAAAAUAUCUGAGUAUUGAAAUGAUAACUAUUUGUCAAGGAACAAAAGUUGUUUUCUAUUAUGGGUUUACUAAACACUAGAUGAUGACAUUUUAAACAAUCAUAGGUUAUUAUUAAAAAAUUAGCACAAGAGGAGUUCCC